rnacentral:rRNA from 1 species
GAGAUGGAUUGGUGCCUUCGGGAACUGUGAGACAGGUGCUGCAUGGCUGUCGUCAGCUCGUGUUGUGAAAUGUUGGGUUAAGUCCCGCAACGAGCGCAACCCUUAUCCUUUGUUGCCAGCGGUUAGGUCGGGAACUCAAAGGAGACUGCCAGUGAUAAACUGGAGGAAGGUGGGGAUGACGUCAAGUCAUCAUGGCCCUUACGACCAGGGCUACACACGUGCUACAAUGGCGCAUACAAAGAGAAUCGA